AUGCUGUCCCAAAGCCAGAUACUACUAGCCUGUAGAAAUAGGCCAAAAAAAACCAGUCCACUCCCCUCCAAAACCUGUCAACAUUGUACACAAAUGACUAACAAGAACUGCAUCAAAAAGACAUUCAAACAGCAUACCAAAACACUUCAAAAGUCAUGUUAUCUUUCCCCCCAAAACCUUUUUUUCGCGGAUAUAACAGAGAUUAAAAAAAUCAGAUGUAUUCCUGUGUUCGAUAUAUUUGAAAUAAUAUGCAUAUAA